rnacentral:rRNA from 1 species
GACGAACGCUGGCGGCGUGCUUAACACAUGCAAGUCGAACGGUAAGGCCCCUUCGGGGGUACACGAGUGGCGAACGGGUGAGUAACACGUGAGCAACCUGCCCUUGACUCUGGAAUAACAGUUGGAAACAGCUGCUAAUACUGGAUAUUCAUCGUCUCCUUCCUGGGGGGUGGUGGAAAGCUCCGGCGGUCAGGGAUGGGCUCGCGGCCUAUCAGCUUGUUGGUGAGGUAAUGGCUCACCAAGGCUUCGACGGGUAGCCGGCCUGAGAGGGCGACCGGCCACACUGGGACUGAGGUACGGCCCAGACUCCUACGGGAGGCAGCAGUGGGGAAUAUUGCACAAUGGGCGCAAGCCUGAUGCAGCAACGCCGCGUGCGGGAUGACGGCCUUCGGGUUGUAAACCGCUUUCAGUAGGGACGAAGGGUGACUGACGGUACCUACAGAAGAAGGACCGGCUAACUACGUG